AGUCGUAACAAGGUUUCCGUAGGUGAACCUGCGGAAGGAUCAUUAAAAAUAAAAAGGAACGGGUUGGCCCGCCUGGCCACCCGCAUCUUAAACCCUAUGUACGAUGAAACCCUGUUGCCUUGGCGGGCUGUCGUCCGCCGGAGGAACAUCAAACUCCUGUUAAACACGUGCCGUCUGAGCUUUAAAGCAACAAGUUAAAACUUUCAACAACGGAUCUCUUGGUUCUCGCAUCGAUGAAGAACGCAGCGAAAUGCGAUAAGUAAUGUGAAUUGCAGAAUUCAGUGAAUCAUCGAAUCUUUGAACGCACAUUGCGCCCUUUGGUAUUCCGAGGGGCAUGCCUUUUCGAGCGUCAUUACGACCAUCAAGCCACGCUUGGUAUUGGGCCUUCGCCCCCGUGCGGGCGGGCCUUAAAGUAAUCGGCGGCCGAGCAACCGGCUUCGAGCGUAGUANUANUUUCUCGNCUCGGAGGUCGGACUUGGCCCGCCGCCAACCUGAAUUAUCUUCUUCAAGGUUGACCUCGGAUAAGGUAGGGAUACCCGCUGAACUUAAGCAUAUCAAUAAGCGGAGGAAAAGAAACCAACAGGGAUUGCCUCAGUAACGGCGAGUGAAGCGGCAACAGCUCAAAUUUGAAAUCUGGUCUCCUCGAGGCCCGAGUUGUAAUUUGAAGAGGAUGCUUCGGCUGCGGCCCUGGUCUAAGUUCCUUGGAACAGGACGUCACAGAGGGUGAGAACCCCGUACGUGGCCGGGUGCCAACGCCGUGUGAAGCUCCUUCAACGAGUCGAGUUGUUUGGGAAUGCAGCUCUAAAUGGGAGGUAUAUUUCUUCUAAAGCUAAAUACCGGCGAGAGACCGAUAGCGCACAAGUAGAGUGAUCGAAAGAUGAAAAGCACUUUGGAAAGAGAGUUAAAAAGUACGUGAAAUUGUUGAAAGGGAAGCGCUUGCAACCAGACUUGGGCGUAGUUGCUUAGCCGGGCUUCUGCCCGGUGCACUCUUCUGCGCCCAGGCCAGCAUCGGUUCGGGCGGCCGGACAAAGGCUGUGGGAAUGUAGCUCCUCUCGGGGAGUGUUAUAGCCCACGGCGGAAUGCGGCCAGCCCGGACUGAGGUCCGCGCUCCGGCUAGGAUGCUGGCGUAAUGGUUGUAAGCGGCC
rnacentral:rRNA from 1 species